rnacentral:rRNA from 1 species
UACGGGGGGAGCAAGCGUUGUUCGGAUUUACUGGGCGUAAAGAGCGCGUAGGCGGUCCGGUAAGUCCGCUCUGAAAGUCCGGGGCUCAACCCCGGGAGGCGGGCGGAUACUGUCGGGCUAGAGUCCGGAAGAGGCGAGUGGAAUUCCUGGUGUAGCGGUGAAAUGCGCAGAUAUCAGGAGGAACACCGAUGGCGAAGGCAGCUCGCUGGGACGGUACUGACGCUGAGGCGCGAAAGCGUGGGGAGCAAACAGG